ensembl:lincRNA
AGAGACGCGCAACUCCGCUCCGCACCGUGCGCCAGCAUCCCCGGGGUCCCGAGGGCGCUGCAGCCCGCCCGGAGACCCCCGCCCAGGCGGGACCAGGGCCCUAGGGCCCAGGGAGCUGCUGUAGACAGAUCCUUCAAGAUUUAACUUCCGAGGAAACCGGCGGCAGAGCGGGUGGAGGCGAGGAUGUGUGGCCAGUGCUCGCGGAGUGCAAUGCAACAUUUAGGCCGCCUAGUUGGGAGCAGCAAGAGCCUGUCUGUUGUGGCAGGCACAUGGAACCCAAUCCCUAUUUGUCCGCGGCAGCCUGGGAGGGGAGCGCCGGUCUCACCAGAGGAAGGAGCACGAGGGGAGGAGGUCCGAGAGGAAAUAAUUGGUGAAAUAUUUGCAGAAGAUGCUGGGAUGAGGAUUUAAUUCCAGAUGAACAGUGGUGCUUCUGAUUCCCUGUCUGUUUCCCACCCACUAUCUCCUCUUUCCUUGUCCUAGACACACCAAAAAUAACUCAGUAAAAUAGAAAUAAAAAUUUAAAUAUCUGUAAACUUGCUUCAUUACAAGCAUUGAGACACACAGAUUGACUUAUAUCCAUUAGACAGUUUCCCC